rnacentral:rRNA from 1 species
UACGGAGGAUCCGAGCGUUAUCCGGAUUUAUUGGGUUUAAAGGGUGCGUAGGCGGCCUUGUACGUCAGGGGUGAAAGACGGUAGCUCAACUAUCGCAGUGCCUUUGAUACUGCAGGGCUUGAAUGUACUUGAGGUAGGCGGAAUGUGACAAGUAGCGGUGAAAUGCAUAGAUAUGUCACAGAACACCAAUUGCGAAGGCAGCUUACUAAAGUAUGAUUGACGCUGAGGCACGAAAGCGUGGGGAUCAAACAGG